UUGGGGUUAUAGGCUGGGUUUCUGUACAGCACUUUGAGAUAUCAGCUGAUGUACGAAGGGCUAUAUAAAUACAUUUGAUUUGAUUUUGAUUUGAUUUGAUAAUUUGAUGAUAGAAUGAUGAUAGUAUGGGGAUAGUAUGGUGAUAGUAAGUGGAUAAUUUGAUGAUAGAAUGAUGAUAGUAUGGUGAUAGUAUGGCGAUAGUAUGGUGAUAGUAUGUGGAUAAUUUGAUGAUAGAAUGAUGAUAGUAUGGUGAUAGUAUGGCGAUAGUAUGGUGAUAGUAUGUGGAUAAUUUGAUGAUAGAAUGAUGAUAGUAUGAUGAUAGUAUGGGGAUAGUAUGGUGAUAGUAUGGUGAUAGUAAGUGGAUAAUUUGAUGAUAGAAUGAUGAUAGUAUGAUGAUAGUAUGGGGAUAGUAUGGUGAUAGUAUGUGGAUAAUUUGAUGAUAGAAUGAUGAUAGUAUGGUGAUAGUAUGGCGAUAGUAUGGUGAUAGUAUGUGGAUAAUUUGAUGAUAGAAUGAUGAUAGUAUGGUGAUAGUAUGGUGAUAGUAUGUGGAUAAUUUGAUGAUAGAAUGAUGAUAGUAUGGUGAUAGUAUGGUGAUAGUAUGGUGAUAGUAUGGUGAUAGUAUGUGGAUAAUUUGAUGAUAGAAUGAUGAUAGUUUGGCGAUAGUAUUAAUUAGAUAAAACAAACAACUGUAGUAUUUUUAAAUAAAAUACUAUUUUAAAAAUAUGUAAAUAUUGGUAAAAAUGUAAAUGUUUGAUAAAUGUGUAUUGGAAUUCGAUGCAUUUUGCAUCCAUUCGCUAAGAUGUUAUUUUUUUUGAUGAUUUCUCUGAGGAAGCCUACAGUCACAUAGAGCAAUCCAAAAAGGAUCUCAGCGGAGUGUAACUUGAUUCCUGUUGUUCAAACCUGUCAGUACCACAAAACAAAGAGAUGUUUGUCUCAGAGAAGGUCAAACUCUGGAAACUAGGCCAUUGAACGUUACACACAGGGGGUGAUUUGGUCUGAUGCAUAUGAACACCAGGUUAUGCCUAAAGCCCUGUAGUCUCUGGUAUGGCCGAAGCGGUAGCGACUGUCGUGAUUGUGAGUAGAAAUGUUUGAUUCAUGCAUCGUUUCCUCUUUCUCUCCGCCUACAUUUUGCCCAGGCAGUCCGGUGUAACCCCUGACUUUUUAUUGCAUAUAAGAGACACUCAUCAGCUCACCCAUUACUGUUGAAAGCACAUGUAAUAAAUGAAUAAAUAUCUGUAGAAUGUGUAAGAUAACCUUAACACGGGGAUCCUCCAUACUGUCCCCUUCUGGAGAGCUUAUUUGUCACAGCUCAGCAGUGAUAGAGUCAGCUGAUUAAGGCUUUGAAGAUUUAAUUACUGAUUAGUUCAAUUGGAACCCAGAACCAAAUCUUGUGUGCUGACCAGCUACGCAACUUGACAUGUAUUAUAAUUUAUGUUCAUGUGUUAAAAGUCUGUCACAGGAUGUUGUUUGCUGUAUCAGGUGUGAUGGCACAUGUGGGACAAAAACCUACUGUACUUUUACUCUCUAGGAGCAGGUUUGGGGAUGAGAGAGAGCGAGAGACCGGAGAGGGUGACUGGAGAGAGGGUUAGGGACAGCUUCAGACUGAUGUACUCCAGUCAUACACACUGCUGUGAACUGUUAGUUUAAUACACUGGUUUGUCAUACUGUAUGUACUCUGAUCAGCACAGAUUUGAAAGCAUUGCACAAGCUGUCAAGGAUCUUAUGCCAAAAAAUAAAUAAAUAAAAAUGGUUUUAAAUUAA